CAUGUGGCAGGUGGCUAUUCUAUUGGAUAGGGUUGCAGUGAGGGUGAAAUGAGAUUAUAUGUGAGAUUAUAUGUGAAAGUUGCUUGGCUGGACUGUUUUUAAUGUUGCUACUAUUUUUUUAUCAUUCUUGCCAACAGAAAACAUUCCCACACCCAGGUGAGCUUCUUCACCUCAUUACCGACUCUUUGGAUGGUCACUUGGGAGAGAAUCUACCCAGAACCAAGCCAAAAGGACCCAGCUCUUCGUGACUGUGCAUGUGGCCUCCAUCAUGAGAAAACCUGCACUGGGAAAACAAAAUGGCCAGAAUAUGUUUCCUUGCCUCGAAGAACUCAUUGUCUGGGAAGGAAGGCGACACGUAAAAAGUUGCAGUUAUGCCAGAAGUAACCUCACAGGUUGUGGACAAGGCCCUACAGGUGCAGAGAGAAGGACUCGACUGUACUGGGGUUGGAGGAGGGACACCUCACAAAGUAAAAGCACAAAAACUUUUCAAAUUCAGUUUUUACUUCUAUACCUCAUGACUGCAUUAUGGAUGCAACACAUCCCAUGGGAAAGGUGGCCUCUGGAAAGGCAGCCUCCUCUUCCUUGCUCCUUCCCCAAAUGAUAAGGUAAGAGGAUCCCACAUUCGAAUCUCCCACCUCUGCCGCAUGUUAUGUGAUCCACAGCCCAUGAGCAUAAGCUCAGGGAGCUUCAGUUGCUUCCUUAAUAAAAAAAAAAAAAAAAAAGGAGAUAAUAUAGUACCUGCCAGGUCUGUGCCAGAAUUAGAAGAUAUGGUGUGUCCAAAAUACAGAGGAGGGGGCACACAUCCAUGAACUCCUCUCUUC
rnacentral:lncRNA from 1 species